rnacentral:misc_RNA from 1 species
UUUUGACAGCUUAAGCAAAUCCCAAGACAUGUUCACAGACCCAAAACAUAAAACAUUUACAGGAAAGAGCUUCGGUGGUCAUACAACAAAUUAUUGAAUUGGCCUUAAUGCUAAUACAUGGUGUACAAUGGCCAAAAGGCAAAAAUCACGUUACAUGAUACUUACUACAACCCUUAGGAUGCUCUGAGGUGUUGAGUUCAGCGAUCUACAUGCACCAUCAAAUUGUUACCCUUCACUCUGACCAAUUAUAAGGAGCACGUGCAACUAUUAAAUAAUCUCCACGAACAUCAUUAGCAAUCCGCAAAUCAUCAUCUAGGUAAACAGAUUUGAACAGUGUAUCCAAUCAUGGAUGAUAAUUCAGAAAAGCACCAUGUUUGCUCUUCAUUCUUUCCAAGCAUAUG